rnacentral:rRNA from 1 species
AUUGAACGCUGGCGGCAGGCCUAACACAUGCAAGUCGAACGCGUGGCGGACGGGUGAGUAAUGUCUGGGACACUGCCUGAUGGAGGGGGCUAACUACUGGAAACGGUAGCUAAUACCGCAUACCAUCAGAUGUGCCCAGAUGGGAUUAGCUAGUUGGUGGGGUAACGGCUCACAAAGGCGACGACCCCUAGCUGGUCUGAGAGGAUGACCAGCAACACUGGAACUGAGACACGGUCCAGACUCCUACGGGAGGCAGCAGUGGGGAAUAGUGCACAAUGGGCGCAAGCCUGAUGCAGCCAUGCCGCGUGUAGGAAGAAGGCCUUCGGGUUGUAAAGUACUUUCAGCGGGGAGGCGUUACCCGCAGAAGAAGCACCGGCUAACUCCGUGCCAGCAGCCGCGGUAAUUC